AAGCAAUAGAAAGAAUGCUGCAAACAGCGGGACCAGAAGUCACAGCCAACUGAGGAAAAGUCCGACCAUGCCUUCGAUGGAAUGAUGAACUAAUGCCUCAAUUCCCUGUAGUGGAAGCCUGGUUAUAUUAUUUCUUCUGUCUUCUAACUCCCCUUCAGGGUUUUAAUAUGGCAGAGAUUCACUGGGAAUACAUGGACCAAGACUGAAUUUGAUUUUCCUUCUGGGAAAUGUUUACAAAAAAGAUCAAAGUGUGGACUGAAUGCACUCAAAGGCAAAUUAUGGGAUAAACUAUUUUCAAAGCAAAAAUCAUAAAUAAUGGACAGGAAGAGUGUAGGAGGGGGAAGUUACACGGCACCUUUCACCUGAAGAAGGGCUUGCACGCAGUCAGAUAGAGAAUGGUAUUUUUCGUGGUAUGUGCUUGGCCUGUAAAAAUAGAAGGCAAAGGGAAGGCAAAUGAGAAAUCACAGAAUGAGGAAAAGGUAACUGUAUGGCCAGUUUGAGAGAAGCCACUGUAAAUGUCAUCUCAGGCUUAAUCAAGCUUCAUGUAAGGGGCAGCAGGAUGUCAGAGGAACCCAAACCCAUUUCUCUCUUGGUAUCCUCUUUCCAGAGAAGCAUUGCUGUCAAAAUCCCUGCUAGGGCACUGCACCUCUGCCUGGCCUGGCAGCACCUGCAGGGUGCUGGGAUCCAGCCACCAGCACAAGGCACAGCGGGCAUCCACACUGCGCACUGCUCUCCAAAUCACAGCAGAAAGGGAAGCUUUCAUUUUUUGUCAUUUUAAUGAAGAAACAUCAAGAGGCAGAUGCCAUGAUCUCUGUUCACAAACAGAUUCCUUUAAGGUUAAUUACCCACAUCUGAGAUGAUUCAAUGGGGAAAUAUACAAAUCCAUAUGGCUACUGAAA